GACGAAGAACGUAGCGAAAUGCGAUAAGUAAUGUGACUUGCAGAAUUCAGUGACUCAUCGAAUCUUUGAACGCACAUUGCGCCCGCUAGUAUUCUAGCGGGCAUGCCUGUUCGAGCGUCAUUUCAACCAUCAAGCCCCAGGCUUGUGUUGGAGCCCUGCGGCCGUCCGCAGCCUCCUAAAAUCAGUGGCGGGCUCGCUAUCACACCGAGUGCAGUAGUUUACUCUUCGCUCAGGACGUGUAGCGGGUUCCGGCCGUGAAACCCCCCAAUUUUCAAGGUUGACCUCGGAUCAGGUAGGAAUACCCGCUGAACUUAAGCAUAUCAAUAAGCGGAGGA
rnacentral:misc_RNA from 1 species